GAUCCUAGCUCAGGAUGAACGCUAGCUACAGGCUUAACACAUGCAAGUCGAGGGGCAGCGGGAUUGAAGCUUGCUUCAAUUGCCGGCGACCGGCGCACGGGUGAGUAACGCGUAUCCAACCUUCCGCUUACUCGGGGAUAGCCUUUCGAAAGAAAGAUUAAUACCCGAUGGUACCUUAAGCACGCAUGAGAUUAAGAUUAAAGAUUUAUCGGUAAGCGAUGGGGAUGCGUUCCAUUAGGCAGUUGGCGGGG
rnacentral:rRNA from 1 species